UACAUGGGGUGCAAACGUUGCUCGGAAUCAUUGGGCGUAAAGCGCACGUAGGCGGUCUGUUAUGUCUGAUGUGAAAGCCCUUGGCUUAACUGAGGAAGUGCAUCCGAAACUGGCAGGCUAGAGUACUAAAGAGGGUCGCGGAAUUCCCGGUGUAGAGGUGAAAUUCGUAGAUAUCGGGAGGAACACCGGUGGCGAAGGCGGCGACCUGGGUGGAUACUGACGCUGAGGCGCGAAAGCGUGGGGAGCAAACAGG
rnacentral:rRNA from 1 species